rnacentral:rRNA from 1 species
AUUGAACGCUGGCGGCAGGCCUAACACAUGCAAGUCGAGCGGAUGAAGGGAGCUUGCUCCUGGAUUCAGCGGCGGACGGGUGAGUAAUGCCUAGGAAUCUGCCUGGUAGUGGGGGAUAACGUCCGGAAACGGGCGCUAAUACCGCAUACGUCCUGAGGGAGAAAGUGGGGGAUCUUCGGACCUCACGCUAUCAGAUGAGCCUAGGUCGGAUUAGCUAGUUGGUGGGGUAAAGGCCUACCAAGGCGACGAUCCGUAACUGGUCUGAGAGGAUGAUCAGUCACACCGGAAACUGGACACCGUCCCGACUCCCACGGGAGGGAGGCGGGGGGAAUAUUGGACAAUGGGCGAAAGCCUGAUCCAGCCAUGCCGCGUGUGUGAAGAAGGUCUUCGGAUUGUAAAGCACUUUAAGUUGGGAGGAAGGGCAGUAAGUUAAUACCUUGCUGUUUUGACGUUACCAACAGAAUAAGCACCGGCUAACUUCGUG